CGGGGUGUAGCGCAGGGGUAGCGCGCGGCGUUUGGGACGCUGAGGUCGCUGGUUCAAAUCCAGUCACCCCGACCA
rnacentral:tRNA from 1 species